AACUUUCAACAAUGGAUCUCUUGGCUCUCGCAUCGAUGAAGAACGCAGCGAAACGCGAUAUGUAAUGUGAAUUGCAGAAUUCAGUGAAUCAUCGAAUCUUUGAACGCACCUUGCGCCCUUUGGUAUUCCAAAGGGCAUGCCUGUUUGAGUGUCAUUA
rnacentral:rRNA from 1 species